rnacentral:rRNA from 1 species
GACGAACGCUGGCGGCGUGCUUAACACAUGCAAGUCGAGCGGAGCGGCGAACGGGUGAGUAACGCGUGAGUAACUGACCCCCUCUCUGGGGUAACAGUUGGAAACGGCUGCUAAUACAGGAUAGUGGGGGAUGACUCGCGUCCUAGCAGCUUGUUGGUGGGGUAGUGGCCUACCAAGGCGACGACGGGUAGCCGGCCGGAGAGGGGGACCGGCCACAUUGGGCUGAGAUACGGCGCAGACUGCUACGGGAGGCAGCAGUGGGGAAUAUUGCACAAUGGGGGAAACUGUGAUGAAGCAACGCGGGUGCGUGAUGACGGCUUGCGGGUUGUAAACCGCUUUCAGCCAUGACGCGGUAGUGGCAGAAGAAGCACCGGCUAACUACGUGCCAGCCGCCGCGGUAAUUC